rnacentral:rRNA from 1 species
ACGGAGGGGGCCAGCGUUGUUCGGAAUUAUUGGGCGUAAAGGGCGCGCAGGCGGUCGCGCAAGUCGGUUGUGAAAUCCCCUGGCUUACCCAGGGAACUGCAUCCGAUACUGCGGGACUUGAGUCCGGGAGAGGAGAGUGGAAUUCCCAGUGUAGCGGUGGAAUGCGUAGAUAUUGGGAGGAACACCAGUGGCGAAGGCGGCUCUCUGGACCGGUUCUGACGCUGAGGCGCGAAAGCUAGGGGAGCAAACAGG